ACACAUGCAAGUCGAGGGGCAGCAUUUUAGUUUGCUUGCAAACUAAAGAUGGCGACCGGCGCACGGGUGAGUAACACGUAUCCAACCUGCCGAUAACUCGGGGAUAGCCUUUCGAAAGAAAGAUUAAUAUCCGAUAGUAUAUUAAAACCGCAUGGUUUUACUAUUAAAGAAUUUCGGUUAUCGAUGGGGAUGCGUUCCAUUAGUUUGUUGGCGGGGUAACGGCCCACCAAGACUACGAUGGAUAGGGGUUCUGAGAGGAAGGUCCCCCACAUUGGAACUGAGACACGGUCCAAACUCCUACGGGAGGCAGCAGUGAGGAAUAUUGGUCAAUGGACGAGAGUCUGAACCAGCCAAGUAGCGUGAAGGAUGACUGCCCUAUGGGUUGUAAACUUCUUUUAUAUGGGAAUAAAGUAUUCCACGUGUGGAAUUUUGUAUGUACCAUAUGAAUAAGGAUCGGCUAACUCCGUGCCAGCAGCCGCGGUAAUACGGAGGAUCCGAGCGUUAUCCGGAUUUAUUGGGUUUAAAGGGAGCGUAGGUGGAUUGUUAAGUCAGUUGUGAAAGUUUGCGGCUCAACCGUAAAAUUGCAGUUGAAACUGGCAGUCUUGAGUACAGUAGAGGUGGGCGGAAUUCGUGGUGUAGCGGUGAAAUGCUUAGAUAUCACGAAGAACUCCGAUUGCGAAGGCAGCUCACUAGACUGCAACUGAC
rnacentral:rRNA from 1 species